ACCUACGGGGGGCAGCAGUGGGGAAUAUUGCACAAUGGGGGAAACCCUGAUGCAGCGACGCCGCGUGAGUGAAGAAGUAUUUCGGUACGUAAAGCUCUAUCCGCAGGGAAGAAAAAAAGUCCUUUGGACUUUGGACGGUACCUGACCAAGAAGCCCCGGCUAACUACGUGCCAGCAGCCGCGGGAAUACGUAGGGGGCAAGCGUUAUCCGGAUUUACCGGGUGUAAAGGGAGCGUAGACGGCAUAGCAAGUCUGAAGUGAAAGCCCAAGGCUCAACCAUGGGAC
rnacentral:rRNA from 1 species